AGGAUCAAAUGAGACGACGUGAGUUUGGAAGGGCUACAUGCUUAGACACCUCCCGUGCUCGGCUCAGUUGGCUAGCAACAGCUUAAAGGACAGCGCCUCUCAGAUUAAACCUCAGAGGAUGCCACCUUAAAAUCGUCAUGGUGGAUGGAAGUCUGACUCCGGUCCUCGUCCGUCCCAGUGUCCAGUCCAGACAACUUGCACUGCCAUUUCAUCUGCACAAACAGCUCAUCGUCGGCAUUUCUAGUUUUAGAAAGCAAUUAGUAGACAAUUGCCAAGAAUUACGAUGUACAGAACGAGUAACAAAGACGCUUUCCUGUUCUCCUUUCU
ensembl:lincRNA Gm42707 predicted gene 42707